UACGUAGGGUGCAAGCGUUGUCCGGAAUUAUUGGGCGUAAAGAGCUCGUAGGCGGUCUGUCGCGUCGGCUGUGAAAUCCCGAGGCUCAACCUCGGGUCUGCAGUCGAUACGGGCAAACUAGAGUAUUGCAGGGGAGACUGGAAUUCCUGGUGUAGCGGUGAAAUGCGCAGAUAUCAGGAGGAACACCGGUGGCGAAGGCGGCUCACUGGACCGGAACUGACGCUGAGGCGCGAAAGCGUGGGGAGCAAACAGG
rnacentral:rRNA from 1 species